GAUGAACGCUGGCGGCGUGCCUAAUACAUGCAAGUCGAGCGAACAGAUGAGGAGCUUGCUCCUCUGACGUUAGCGGCGGACGGGUGAGUAACACGUGGAUAACCUACCUAUAAGACUGGGAUAACUUCGGGAAACCGGAGCUAAUACCGGAUAAUAUAUUGAACCGCAUGGUUCAAUAGUUAAAGACGGUUUUGCUGUCACUUAUAGAUGGAUCCGCGCCGCAUUAGCUAGUUGGUAAGGUAACGGCUUACCAAGGCAACGAUGCGUAGCCGACCUGAUAGGGUGAUCGGCCAAACUGGAACUUAGACACGGUCCAGACUCCUACGGGAGGCAGCAGUAGGGAAUCUUCCGCAAUGGGCGAAAGCCUGACGGAGCAACGCCGCGUGAGUGAUGAAGGUCUUCGGAUCGUAAAACUCUGUUAUUAGGGAAGAAAAAAUGUGUAAGUAACUAUGCACGUCUGGACGGUACCUAAUCAGAAAGCCACGGCUAACUACGUG
rnacentral:rRNA from 1 species